UACCAUGGUCACCAUUCUGGUCUCCCCGACAACCCCCUCCCAUUCUUAGAGCUUCUUUCCUGUCUGACUCAGAGGUCCCGGUGAGGGAGGUCAAGUGCUGUGUGGUUAGGACCCAUGGCUAUGAACUUGCAGGAAAAUGUGACCUUGGCCAUGGCCGUGUUCACCAUCCUAGCCUCCAUCUACUUCUUCAACAAGGCACAGCAGUAAGAAGGCAUGGCACCCCAGUCCACCAGCUUGGCCCCCACCUGCUCUACCAUUGCGCUGGCCUCUGAGAUCCAAUAAAUGUAACAGUAUCAGACCAAGGCUCCCUGCUCCCUAACAAACUCCUAUUCAACCGCUAUCACCUGCCAUCAAAUCCCUUUCUGAUAGAAGUGUCCAGAACCCCAAAAUAGAGGGGAUCUGUUAGCAGCGCACUCCAUCACCUUCCUGCCUCCUCCAACCUCCCCAAGCGAAUGCCCUGAGGGACACAUCUGCCCAAGAAAAUUCAUUUGUAUGCUCUGGGUCUUCGGGACAAGGACUAGAAAUUUCCAAUCACCAAUAGAUUUGUAAAUCCGUUUAGUUCAGAUCCGUGCAAUUUUAGUGGGUUACAAGCAAAUUGAAACCAAACUGAGCUAGCGGUCGCGCCCUCUGUUGAUCAGAGCCAGUAGCAGCACCCUUUGUCCUCAAUGCAAGGACUCCUUGUACGCAAAACCAGAAAUAGCCGCAUGGUGGCGAUGUCGGACUAUUUUCUCAGAUUCUAAAUGGCAACAGGGAUUGAAUUGGCAGGCGACCGAGCUUCCUGCCUGAGCUCUCUCCCAGGUAUUUCAGGCAUCCACCUCCUGGAACCACAAGGCCC